CGUCCCCCAGCAAGACGGUGUUAUAUAAAUAUCUGCAGACCAAGGCUGUGAGGCUGGAGAAGAUCACACUUGCAGUUAUAUAAAUAUCUGCAGACCAAGGCUGUGAGGCUGGAGAAGAUCACACUUGCAGUUAUAUAAAUAUCUGCAGACCAAGGCUGUGAGGCUGGAGAAGAUCACACUUGCAAGUCAGUCCUCCAUAGCGAAGGACGCAUCCCCAAGUUUAGAACACAGCCCCUGAACUGGGAGCAAGAAGUGGAAAAA